GAUGAAGAACGUAGCGAAAUGCGAUAAGUAAUGUGAAUUGCAGAAUUCAGUGAAUCAUCGAAUCUUUGAACGCACAUUGCGCCCGCCAGUAUUCUGGCGGGCAUGCCUGUUCGAGCGUCAUUUCAACCCUCAAGACCCCUUCGGGGGACUUGGUGUUGGGGACCGGCACAGGGGCCUGCCUGCUUGUCUUGCAGCGCCCUCGCCGCCCCCGAAAUGAAUUGGCGGCCUCGUCGCGGCCUCCCAUGCGUAGUAGCACAAACCUCGCAACGGGAACGUGACGGCGGCCACUGCCGUAAAACAACCCAAUUUUAUUAGAGUUGACCUCGAAUCAGGUAGGAAUACCCGCUGAACUUAAGCAUAUCAAUAAGCGGAGGA
rnacentral:misc_RNA from 1 species